AUAAACACGUCAGUUGUGUCAAAAUCUGUUGUGUCAUGUCAUCUUAAUAUUUUUGUAGCGGUGCUGGGUUGGAAAAGUGUAAAAAAAUAUUAAAAUAACAGCAUAAAGUCAUCGAUUAAGACGGAAAAAAAAUUAAAUAUAAAUCUCUUAUAAUGCACUGGUACGGAGGCAGUAUGGCGGAGGCGGUGACGCUGUCCAAACAGAGGAACGCUAUUUUCGUUGUAUUUGUAGAAGAUGAUAACAAUCUAUCCAAGGAGCUCCUGUCUACGAUAGAUGACAGUGCGGUAGUCAAACGUCUUACGGAUCAGAACAAUUUCUUGGCUGUUAAGUUGAAGAGCGGAUCGGAGAAUUACACAUACUUCGCACAGAUCUACCAGUUCGUGCCAGUGCCCUCGCUGUUCUUCAUCGGCCGUAACGGCACUCCGCUGGAGGUGGUGUGUGCUGGUGUGGAACCACACAACCUGGCUACGAGGAUCGACAGGAUCCUCAAGGAACACCGCAAAGAACAGCCAUGCGACCAGGUCGAACCGUCGACUUCAUCUAAAAACAUUAAAGAUGAAACUCUCAGCUUCAUCCAAUCAGAGGCCACAGCCAGCACCGCACCGCCAGCAGACAAAACCCCACAGACCAGUGACAGUGCACCAGAGACCCCCAACACAGCCUUAGCAACCCCCAACACGACACUCGAAGAACCCAAAACAACCCCGGAACCACCCAAAAGUACAGCUGCAGAGGAAUCAGAAUCCGGUCCAGCUGCCAAGAUCCAGAAGAUGGAUAAACCCGAGUCCCCGGAAUACGACGUGGUGUGUGUGGGUGACACCUGUGUUAGGAAGCCUCGCGCCGGGGACCCUGAAGCCUCCAGCUCUAAUAAGGUUAUUAAGCCGGAACCGAACCCUGUCCCGGCUCAGGAGAGCUCCAACAGCGCUGACGACAAGUUGGAGAAGGCUAAGGAACUGAUAGAAAUAAGACGGAGAGAGAAGGCGGCCAAGGAAAAAGAGUUGGAGAAGCAAAAGGAGUUGGAGCGUCGGUCGGUGGGUCAGGGAGUGUCGGAGCUGAAGAGAUGGCAGGCGGAACAGGAAAUGAAGCAGAUACAGGAGGAGAGGAAGAGAGAGAAAAUGGAGAAUGACUUAGCGAGACAACGGAUACUGGAACAGAUAGCACAGGACCGAGCGGAGAGGAGGGCCAGGGAGAUAGUCACCACACAGAAUGUGGUGCAGACCCCACCCCCACCACCAGCCACAUCAGGCGACACCUUCAGUGCUCGAGUGCAGUUCAAGUUACCGGAUGGUACCACCCACGUGACCACCUUCCCCGCCAGAGCGACCGUGCGUGACGUCACCACGUACGUCACCCAACAACUACAGCCGGAGGGUCUGUUCUCACUGUGGACGGCGUUCCCUCGUCGUGAGCUAUCGUCACCGGCCAGCACACUCCUGGAGCUACAGCUGGCGCCCUCUGCAGCUCUGCUGGUGUUGCCCCAGAGGUCGGGACUCCAACCGACUAUAAGACCUGGACCGUUCGCGUUCCUGACUACUCUCUUCACAACGCUCUUCCUAAACCCGACAUACAAUAUAUUUUACUGGAUACGAGACCGCUUCUUCCCAGUGUUAUCUAGACCGAGCGCCCCAGACCAGCCUAGACCGGAGCCGGCCAGACCGGAGCCGUCUAGACCGGAACAGUCUAGACCGAGGAGCGGUCUGCGGCGACGAGGGAACGUUCACAGGCUGGCCAGUGACGGGAGCAAUGAUGAUGAUAAUAACACCUGGAAUGGAAACUCAACGCAGCAGAUGUAGAGGCGAGGGGGGAGUACGACACUAUUAUACUUACAAGUGCUUACAAGUGUCCGUUUGUUCAAUAAAGGAAUGGACCUGUUAUAUGCGCUUCAACUCAUUGCUGAUGUAUUAAAUAAUAGGAUAUUCCAUACAAAUGUAGAAACUGAAUCCUAUAUAUAUAAAUAUAUAUAUAUACACUGUAUAAAUAAAAUAUUGUUAUCUUAGAUAUUAAUUAUCACAAAUAAAUUUACACACACACAGUGUUAUAUUAUUGCUUGGACAAAAAAAGCCUAAAUUACCGAGUUACAUUAAAGCUUUGUGAUUUUGUUAUGAGUGUUAGAACCGAUAUCAUAUUAAAUUAUUUCAUGUCAAAAUAAA